CCUACGGGCGGCAGCAGUGAGGAAUAUUGGUCAAUGGGCGCAAGCCUGAACCAGCCAAGUCGCGUGAGGGAUGACGGUCCUAUGGAUUGUAAACCUCUUUUGUCGGGGAGCAAGGCCCGCCACGUGUGGCGGGAAGGAGAGUACCCGAAGAAAAAGCAUCGGCUAACCCCGUGCCAGCAGCCGCGGUAAUACGGAGGAUGCGAGCGUUAUCCGGAUUUAUUGGGUUUAAAGGGUGCGUAGGCGGAAGGUUAAGUCAGCGGUAAAAUGUCGGUGCUCAACACCGGCCUGCCGUUGAAACUGGUCUUCUUGAGUGAGCGAGAAGUAUGCGGAAUGCGUGGUGUAGCGGUGAAAUGCAUAGAUAUCACGCAGAACUCCGAUUGCGAAGGCAGCAUACCGGCGCUCAACUGACGCUGAGGCACGAAAGCGUGGGGAUCGAACAGGAUUAGAUACCCCAGUAGUC
rnacentral:rRNA from 1 species